GUCCGUUCAUCCUUCGGGACGCAUGACACCAAAGCAUGGAACGGGGCUUUGGU
ncrna:unclassified sequences Glutamine-II riboswitch (downstream peptide RNA)